ensembl:snoRNA
CAAUAUGUUUCCAAAGGCUGUGGCUGGUUGUGGCCAUGGGAUCUCCAACUGCAUGGGAGAGCCAUCUGGAGAGACUGACAGCUCAGGUCAGCACAAUGCCUGCAGCCGCCACUCGCCGUUCCUAUGAUG